GUGGGGAAUUUUGGACAAUGGGCGCAAGCCUGAUCCAGCAAUGCCGCGUGCAGGAAGAAGGCCUUCGGGUUGUAAACUGCUUUUGUACGGAACGAAACGGUCCGGGUUAAUACCCUGGGCUAAUGACGGUACCGUAAGAAUAAGCACCGGCUAACUACGUGCCAGCAGCCGCGGUAAUACGUAGGGUGCAAGCGUUAAUCGGAAUUACUGGGCGUAAAGCGUGCGCAGGCGGGUUUGUAAGACAGGCGUUAAAUCCCCGGGGUCAACCUGGGAAUUGCGCUUGUGACUGCAAGGCUGGAGUGCGGAAGAGGGGGAUGGAAUUCCGCGUGUAGCAGUGAAAUGCGUAGAUAUGCGGAGGAACACCGAUGACGAAGGCAAUCCCCUGGGCCUGCACUGACGCUCAUGCACGAAAGCGUGGGGAGCAAACAGGAUUAGAUACCCCAGUAGUCC
rnacentral:rRNA from 1 species